UUUUUUUUUUUUUUUUUUUUGUCAAGAUGAUAGCUACUUAGCAAAAAGAAUUCUUUAUUAUUUUUAUCCCAUUUUACAAUUUCUUUUCUUCCUUUUUUCUUCAUCUCUAAUCUCUCAUGUUUGCUCUAUUUUUUGAUCAUAAUGUUAUAGCCAACUGGCAUUUGUUUGUUAAAUUUAUAGGAUGAUGUUUUUAUUUGAUAGUUCUUCAUGGAUAAAAGGUGAACUAUUAAAAUAUCUUAGAAUUCAUUUUAUACCAAUGAUCAUUUUCUAUGAAUAAUAGAACAAAAAUUCAUUCUUUUAUUUUAUCCUCCCAUGAUUUGAUUUCUGACUUCACAUUUUGUUUCAUUUUCUUUGUUUUUUUGGUUCCAUUUUGUAAUUAUCUACAAUUUUGUGUAUUUUUUUAGGAGAAAGAUAUAUCAUGUGAUGUUUCCACCAAGAUAAAUCUAGCUAGGCAUCCUUGUAUCUCCAUUUUUCUCCAUUUCUUUUUUUUUUUUGCAAUUACUUUAUGGCCUAUUCAAUUUAAUUGAAGGAUCCAAUAAGAUUUUGUAUAUAUUUAAACUAAAGUUAAUUUUUGUUUGUUUUUUAAGUACUCUAAGUGUUGUAGUAUCAAUUGGGUUGGUAUUCAAGGAUUGCAGUCGGUGGUGGAAGUCACAAUUGAGACUUUCGACCUAGAGUGUGACUUGACAAAAAAUUGUUAGAAAAUUCAAUUUUGAUUAGGAAGAUGGUUUUGCAAUAAAAAAUAGUUCAAUUCUAAUUUGUAUAUGUAGAUCAAGAAACAUAGCAAUUCAUAUUUUUAUCUAAUCUUGCUAUUUAUAUUCUGGAGCUACAGGAUAAUGUUGUCACCUUUAGGCGGAAUUUAAAUAGAUGAACUGGAUUCUUCUAUCAAAAGAAAGAAAAAUAUGAAAGUUUAUAGUAAGCUAUAUUGAUGUUGAAGAUUGUGCCAUGUUUUAGCAGCUUCCUAAACUUUUUCUCAUUAUUAAAGUAUUAAAAGUAUUACGACUGCUUUUGAUUUAGUUUUAACUAAAACUAUACUAUUAUUAAUACAUCAAUGCACUUAUAAUGUAUUAAUUUUCUCUCCUUUUUGGGUAUCAUACAAUAGUGGUUCAAAAAUCUUUAUUCAAAUCACAAUAAAUAGGGAGGUUGAAUUCAUAGAUGGGAUUUCUCUUUACAACAAAUUUUGAGAGAAAUUUUUAUUUAUUCUCCAUAUUUUGUUAAUUGUAUUCCUACAAUAAACAAAAGGUAUAUGAUAAAAAUAAUAGCGGAAGUAUGAUUAACAAAAAUGAGAGUUCAAAUAAUAUUUGUCAAUUUUAAUUGCUUUGAUGUUCAAUUUUUCUCCUAUAUUUCUAUUCAUUUAUCAUGUGGCAAAAUAAUUUGGUGCCAUGCAUUCGACUAAAUUUCUAGGGGGCCCAAACUGUGCUUUGCACAGUUCAAGUGCUUCUAGUAAUUAUAAUUAAAAGACAUGAGGAUAAUUCAGGGAUAGCAAAAACUAAGAUUAAAAAGUACUUACACUCCCUAAUACUAACUUUUAUACUUUUUAUAUAGUAAUGAUGAUUAGGUCAAAGCUUAAACUGGUGUUAGGAAACCUUGUACCUAGAUUGGAGAUUAUUUGAAAUAAUUAUUGUAACAUUUUUUGCGAUAUAAUGUAUAUGAAAUAAAAAUGUAUUUGAGAAGAUAAAAAGUUAAUUGAAAAAUGCAUUUGCAAUGCAGACCAAGUCAUAUUUGGAAAAAAAAAAUUGCCACCCCCAUAUUUGUAGUUAAUGGCCGUUUCAGGCCCAACAUAUUCGAGCAAUCACUCCAUUAUGCCAUUAAGGAUUCUGUGUCCCAAAAUACAAUCUGCACAUUCACCUUAUGGCUUGAAAACGCAGGCUUUUAUGCCCCGUUUUUUUAACAGCUAAAUACAGUCUGACAUCCAAAACUACACGAGUCAAGUUCGAGAACAUCCGACUGAACGGUACAUACGUCAAACUAGAUACGAUCAUCAUGGAAAAGCGAGCUACCCAAGAAAGAGAGAAUUUUUAUAGUGAAUAAAAGAAGGCAAUGACAUUGAAAAUCAAAACUUUUGUGGCUGUAAAGCAAGAUUUUCCAAACGUAGCACCUACUUUGAUAUAGAAAGUUAUAAAUACCAACAGAAAAUAUGAAAUACUCCUACGCUCAGAAAAUAAUGCAAGAGUGAAACCAAAAAUUACAGCCAAAUUAAUCCUAUCCGUCAUGAUCACGACAUUAAUAAAUUACGGAGGAAAGAAAGACUCAUCUCACAACAAUGAUCCUAUUUUAAUUCCAAACAAUCUUCUAUCCCUCUUCCUCCAUCUUAUACUAAUUUCCCUUUUUUUUUGGGAACACAAAAAGAAGCAACUAAUUAGCUGAAAAUUUUAGAGAAACCAAGCUCUUGACAUGCGGAAUAUACCUCCAACUCUCAUUCAUUUCGUAACCCUUGUCCAAGUGAAAUGAGUUGAUAACUCCUGUCUUCAUAUUAUAUGUAAUGCAAUUUCUUGAUGGAUGUGUCUUAUGAUGGUAGUACCACUUUCCAUGUGGAAUCCCAUCUUCGUGUGCGACAUAGAGGACAGCAAUUUCCCCAUCUUUCAAGAAACCAACAGGCAGAAUUUGAAAUCCUGCUGGACAUAAAGUGCGCCGAAGCAUUUGCUCCUGAGGUCCUAGAUCAAUAAUGGCCAACUUAGUCCAUUCACCAGCUUCUGCAUCUUUUAGCAACCAGAGCUCCCAUGAAAACUUCCCCAAGUAAUCCAUGAAACAAAGUGACUGCCCAGUUCCAAUAUAAGUCCUCCUUUUCCUCUCGGGACAUUUUGGGGCAGCACGCGUGUAGAAAGUCUCGGUUUCAAGAUCUAAAUUAAGAACCAAAGGAAACUUAUAAUGUGUCCAAUGCAAAAUUCCUUCUGCACUAGAAAUUGGCUUGUUGAAAAACAAGUCAAAGAAUCCAAAUUUGUCAAUUUCCCUAGUCUCAUUCCGUCGGCAAAGGCACCUCCAUUCUCUAUCAACACCAAGCGUUAGUAUCCCACCUUCCAAUUUCUUCUGAUGAUUAAAGUAGAACUCAACCAGUUUAUAUUUCUUUGAGCAAGUAUAUCCUAUACCCGAAAAACUUGGACAUGCACUGUCUGCAGCUGAGGGAGGAGGGAGGGUUACAACUUCCUUUGUAACUAAAUUUGCAACAUAGCGAUUUCCAUCUUCACUUUCAGCCAUCAAGACCAAACCAUUACAACUGCUCGUACCAUAUUUUGGCAAAUGAGAAGAGUCUACCUCAGUGAUCUCAGGAAGAUCAUUCUUCACCAUUUUGACAUAAUGUAUAUUGCAAUCUUGAAGAAUUUGCUGGAUAAGCAUGCCCCUGUCCACCUUUAGGAGGUGUGCAUCAAUGAAUGUAGGACUAGAAAUGAUGUUGUACCACUCUCGACAGACACCUCAUCACAUUGUAAAGUAUGUCUGCAGGAAGGUAGACAAGAAUAUUGAACAUAAUUUCUGGUGAAAGAUAAGGUAUAGAAGGUCUCCGCCGUAUCUUCUGAUCAUUAGCAUGAGGAUAUAAGGUAUGCCUCUUAGAUUCUGGGACGCAAUGGGAUACAUUACAUUGCACUUUCCUGCAAGCAGGACGAGGACGGAGGUUAUACCUCUUGAGCAUAUGAUCGACCCCCUUAGCCAUCUGGACCACAAAACACUGAAGCCAAUGCUCUACUGCAAAUAUUCGUUAACACUCAGUUAAACUAAAAGACACUUAAAGAAGGGAAAUAAGCGGGAAAAAGGAUAACUGGGGGAGAAUUAAAACUAGCAUAACUAUGUCUCAGUUGAACAAGUCUCCAAUUGCAAACUGUUUAUAAAAUAUGCACAGUAUUGUUAAGGCCUUUAUGUAAACAAGGUACGUCUCUAUACACGUAAAAGGAUGAAACACUGUUCAACCAUAUCUUUUUUUCUCUCUUUUUUAAAGCGGUAUAUUGAUAGCCACAGUUCCAGAACUUCAAAGAUUUCAUCGGAUACUAUACUAUUUCCAUUUUGUGUUAUGUAUAUAAUCUUGUUGUGAUUGAUGGUUUAGAUUUUACGAUAUCUUCCGCUAGGAAAUUACCUAAUCGAUUCCUACAAAUUGACUAUCCCAAUUAUUCUCAUCACACCGUAAUCGCUCUCCCAAAUUCCGCCAUUUUCCAUUUCUACAAAUUUCUUAACCCUAGUUGGGAUUCUAUUUUGAGUUGAGAUUACUCCUAACAAAAAAAGAGAAAUUCUUUGGCCCUUUUGAAUCUCAUGUCCACCGAAAUCACCUUCCCUAACCCAGUCAGAAGCGGUUGUGAGAAAAUUGGACGUCUCUCUUCCGAAGAGAGACUCCACACUGCAGCAUUAGGAGCAAGAUCACCAUUUGGAGUAAGCUUUUUCUUCUUCUUUUUUUUUUUCCAGUUUGUUAUUCAGUUAUGCAUCUCUUUAUAUAAGGUGCUUUUUCUUGAAUUAUCUCUAGUAUUUUCUUGGAGCAGUACUUUUUUAUUAGUUUUCCAACUUGGUAGGAAAUUUCGUUUUGGAAAAAAGAUGAAAUGCAAGAUAAGCAAUGGAUUCCCUGCUUUAUAACGGUAGCUGUUGAAUGUUGACCAUCUCUGCCUGCAAAAAAUAUAGUUCAACUCUUCCCUUUUUUCAUCUGUUAAUAAUCAGCGCUCGGCUUAUUUAUUAUGCUUUUGUUUUGGCUUUUUCUAGUGAUUUGGGUUUUUGGAAUAUCCAGCUCUAAUUUUCUGGGAUCCACAAGUUCUGGAGAAUGAAUGAAUCCACUAGCCUGCAUAAAUUUCUAGGCUAAAAUUUGUUCCUGCAUCAGCUACUUGGGAUUUGGGUGGCCGGGGGGGGGGGGGGAGAGAGGAGGGGGUAAAGCUGGAAAUGGUUGUCGAUUUGCUUAAAGCGUCGACCACAUUUCACAGUCACAGUGGUGAUACUUGUUUUCUUCAAUUAUUCAAUUUAUAAUUUUUGAAACUGCAAAAAAUGCACUCAAUUUUGUUCAAUUGUUGGUAUAGAAAUGCUCAUUCUGGAAUAUGACAAUUUUAAAUGGAUUUGUGAUGCCUUUAUAGUAAUUGUUAGGGGCAUUAUCUACAAAAAAGUGUAAAAACAAAAAAGAUUGAAUCUUUAUUAGUACUGUAUCAAAAAGUUUUGAUUGAUAUCUUUGUUUAUUAUAUGCAUCAACUUCCUGUGCAGCAAAAAUAGGGAAAAAAAAGUAGAUCUUUACUUUGUCUUAAUUGAUAUCUUUGCACAGCAUAUUGCCAUUAAUUUCCCAUGCAGCAUUCAAGAAAGCUUUGAUUGUUGAUUUCGAACUUAUGCACAUCAAAUACGAACACAGCAAUACAAUUUUUAUCAUUUUAAGUUUUAAUAGUGGCACAUUAAAGUCUAUAGUAGCUUCAGUUUUCAGUCAUGGCAAAACUAAUGCUAUCCUUGUAUUGACCAAUUAAUCCUUUUGAAUUCAUUUCUGGAUCAGCUAUUGGAAUUUGAAAAUUUAGAAUGUAUUUGGAAUGCAUUAGUAUUUACUGUUAACAGUGGCGACAUACAAUAAAGAAGUUCAAUGUCCUGUAACUUUGAAGUUCUGGUGUAACUUUGAAGUUCUGGAACUGUGGCUAUCAAUAUACCGCUUUAAAAAAGAGAGAAAAAAAGAUAUGGUUGAACAGUGUUUCAUCCUUUUACGUGUAUAGAGACGUACCUUGUUUACAUAAAGGCCUUAACAAUGCUGUGCAUAUUUUAUAAACAGUUUGCAAUUGCAGACUUGUUCAACUGAGACAUAGUUAUGCUAGUUUUAAUUCUCCCCCAGUUAUCCUUUUUCCCGCUUAUUUCCCUUCUUUAAGUGUCUUUUAGUUUAACUGAGUGUUAACGAAUAUUUGCAGUAGAGCAUUGACUUCAGUGUUUUGUGGUCCAGAUGGCUAAGGGGGUUGAUCAUAUGCUCAAGAGGUAUAACCUCCGUCCUCGUCCUACUUGCAGGAAAGUGCAAUGUAAUGUAUCCCAUUGCGUCCCAGAAUCUAAGAGGCAUACCUUAUAUCCUCAUGCUAAUGAUCAGAAGAUACGGCGGAGGCCUUCUAUACCUUAUCUUUCGCCAGAAAUUAUCUUCAAUAUUCUUGUCUACCUUCCUGCUGACAUACUUUACAAUGUGAUGAGGUAUGUCUGUCGAGAGUGGUACAACAUCAUCUCUAGUCCUACAUUCAUUGAUGCACACCUCCUAAAGGUGGACAGGGGCAUGCUUAUCAAGCAAAUUUAUCCAGAUUGCAAUAUACAUUAUGUCAAAAUGGUGAAGCAUGAUCUUCCUGAGAUCAUUGAGGUAGCCUCUUCUCAUUUGCCAAGAUAUGGCAUAAGUAGUUGUAAUGGUUUGGUCUUGAUGGCUAAAAGUCAAGAGGAAAAUCGUUAUGUUGCAAAUUUAGUUACAAAGGAAGUUGUAACCCUCCCUCCUCCUUUAGCUGCAGCCAAGGCAAAUCCAAGUUUUUCGGGUAUAGGAUGUACUUGUUCAAAGAAAUAUAAACUGGUUGAGUUCUACUUUAAUCAUCAGGGGCCAUUGGAAGGUGGGAUACUGACUCUUGGUAUUGAUAGAGAAUGGAGGUACCUUUGCCGACGGAAUGAAACUAGGGAAAUUGACAAAUUUAGUUUCAUUGACUUGCUUUUCAAGAGGCCAAUUGCUAGUGCAGAAGGAAUUUUGCAUUGGACACAUUAUAAGCUUCCUUUGGUUCUUAAUUUAGAUCUCGAAACUGAGAUCCUCUACACUCGUGCCACUCCAAAAUGUUCCGAGAUGAAUAGGAGAACUUAUAUGGGAACUGGACGGUCACUUUGUUUCAUGGAUUACUUGGGAAAGUUUUCAUGGGAGCUCUGGUUGCUAAAAGAUGCAGAAACUGGAGAAUGGGAUAAGCUGGCCAUUAUUGAUCUAGGACCUCAGGAGAAAAUGCUUCGGCGCACUUUGUGUCCGACAGGAUUUCAAAUUGUGCCUGUUGGUUUCCUGAAAGAUGGGGAGAUUGCAGUCCUCUAUGUUGCACACGAAGAUGGGAUACCGCAGGAAAGGUAUUGCCGUCAUAAGACACAUCCAUCAAGAAACUGCAUUACGUAUAAUGUGAAGACAAGAGUGAUCAACUCAUUUCACUUGGAUAAGGGUAGCACUUUUGAAAUGAAUGAGAGUUGGAGGUAUACUCCGCAUGUCAAGAGCUUGGUUUCUCUAAAAUUUUCAGCUAAUUAGUUGCUUCUUUUUCUGUUCCAAAAAAAAAAAAAAGAUAUUGGUGUGAGAUGGAAGAAGAGGGAAGGGAGACUGGUUGGAACUAGAAUAGCAUCAUUGUUGUGAGAUGUCUUUCUUUCCCCAUUAAUUUAUCAAUGCCAUGAUCAUGAAGGAUUGGAUUAACUUAGUCGUAAUUUGUGGUUUCAUUCUUGCAUUAUCUUGUGAGCAUAGGAGUAUUUGAUAUUUUCUGUUGGUAUCUAUAACUUUCUAUUUCUCAUCAAAUUAGUUGCUACGUUUGGAAAAUUUUUUUAUUACAGCUGCAAAAGUUUUGUUUUUCAAAUGUCAUUGCACUCUUUUAUUGGCUAUAAAAAAUCUCUCUUUGUUGGGUAGCUCGCUUUUCCAUGAUGAUCGUAGCUAGUUUGACGCGUACCAUUCAGGUCACCCAGCCAUUGGAUGUUCUCUAGAGAAUCUUUUCAAGGCAAUGAUUCACAGGCUAUAGGUCCAUAAUUGAUAAGCUUUUCUUUACUAGUUAAGUCCUAAGAAUAUGAUUUAUAAUUUUUGGGAACAAUAAUAGAAGUACAAAAAUCUGAACUGCAGAAGAAAAUCAAUCUGAAAAAUCACAUACCCAUUCCACGAUUUGUGGCACCACCAAAUGUAGUGGAAAUGGUAUAAUUUGCAUUCUGUGAGUUCUUCGUCUUCUGCUUGAACUGGAAAGCUUUUUAUUCAUGGGAGGGGACUAUCAUUCUUAUGUUUGAGGUUGCUGCAAAUUUCGCUUAUAAUGUUGGAAGAUUGCAAAAUGGAUUCCUAUCGUUUCAAACCCAAUAUUUGGCAACAAUUUAUAGGUUUUCUGCGUGAGAGAUCAGAGACACAGUGUUGAAAGAAGAAACUUCAAAGAAAUUGCCAUAGUUGACUAAUUGAUUCUAAUAAUACGAGAAGUAAUUCUUAAGUUUCUUUGUUUGCUUUUAAUCAGCAAGCAAAAAAUUUUUGCUCGAGAAAAUGUAAUGCAAAAAACAUUGAAUGACAUUAGCCUAAACUUUGGAUAUUUGUAAUUUCAGAUAAAAAGUUCCAAGAAUUAAAAUGUGGAUUCUUCAAUUGCUGCUUGCCCCCUCUACUUUAGCUUCAGCUUCUGGUUCAUCGCUGGGUUCCACUACCUCAAGCUUCUGGUUCGUUGCUAAAUGGGUGCCCACUGUGAAGUGAAAAACAUUUACUUUAGCAUUUAGAAAAACUUUUAAUAGAGCAAAAAAGCAUGGGACAAAAAGUGAUACUAAUGGCAUAUUUUACAAAAGGAAGAUGAUCCUGUCAUUUUAGACACAGCUUUACAGAGUUGCAAUGGAAUGAGAAGGGAAUUCGUUAGCAAAGAAUGAAAAAUCUCCAACUGAUCAAGACGAUACAAAAGUAUUUGACUCAUAUAAAUUUAGCAAAGAUCUUUAAACGCCAAGAAUUUGUAGAUUUAGCACUAUCUAUUAUACACCUAUGCCUGGAUCUUAACUGCCUAUGUAGGGGCUAAAGUCUUAGGGAAUUGAUCCAUUUCCAACACAAAGCUUUUGAAUGUCAAUGAAGAUCACAGAAUAGUCAGUACACGAUUCCAUGACACUGGUCAAUUAUUUUCAUGGUAGUAUCGUCUAACUACUGCAGAAUAUGGUAAGGCUGAUGACAUCCAAGUAUCAUACUCGGGCUGUUCUCUGACCUAACAAUAAACUUUCCAAUCCACAACUACGCAGACGCAAACAUAUUAGGUUAAGCAAGAAGAGUUCUGUCAGGACUUUAAACAUGACUCUUUGUAAUAUUUUACACUCGAUAGAUCCUAUCUGUUCCAAAAGCCACUGAAAUUGUCCGCAACCCCUUUUAUAUCAGAAGCAAAAUGAAACAAAUAAAUGAGAAGCAAAAAGGAAUAGGCUUAAGACCUUGCCAUUUAAGCUGCCUAAGAUCAAUAACUUACCAUUUAUCUCUGAAUAAGUGAAAUCAGAAAUGAAUACAUCAAGAAACACUCAGGGUCAAUACUCAGCAAAGUUCUGUUAUGAGUUAGUUUUGGAAUUAUUGGCACACUUCUUUUCCAUAUUCAGAUAGACAAAAGGCAUCGCUUGAAAUUACCGUUACUUGUGAAUUUUAGGAAACAUGGCACCCUAUAAGAGAAGGAUUCAUCUUUACAUGUUACAGGUUGGAAAGCAGAAUGAGGUAAAGGAAAUGGGACUCUCUGCAUCAAUGCCUACAGCUUAGACAAAAGGGAAAAGAAGGGGUCAAAAGCAUGAACUGAUAACGGGGAUAGGGAUGGCGAGAAUCAAGAAAUCGUUGUAAGACAAUAACAUCAUACGGUAAGAAUUUUUAGCACGAGUAUCAAUCAAAGGAAUUUUCCUGCAAUAACAAAGUUUUACAACAAUGACAUAUUUUACUAAUAUUUUGGUAAUCUCCAUAUUCUCAUUUUCUCAAAAAUAUUAGCAUGAAAUAUAUGAAGAAAAACUGACUUCGACUUUUCAACUCAUUUAGAAAGCUGCAACAAUGCUUCUUUAGCCCACGAAUCUAUUUAGCAUAAACUUUUUUCCAAGCUCAAAACUUAGCUAUUUAACAUUUACUAUCUUUGUAUUAGACCCAUAAACUCCAACACUAGAAAGUAGAAAAUAGGUAAAACAGGGAAAGAGAGUAAAAGAAAAGCAACAGAAUUCCUAAAUCCUAACAGCAAAAUAGAAAUGAAAAACAGAAUUAAUUAGGAUGUGAAUAGACAAAACUUCUUGUUUUUAUUGUAGAGCACCUUGUCCGUUUUCAACGUAACUAGACAAUUUAGUAACAACAAUGUAGAAAAAGUAAACAAUGAAAUAAAUGUACCUGAUUUCUCUUUGAAUUCUUUUCUCCUCUUCUUUAAGUUCAUUGAUUUCAAGCCUUAGGCUCUCAAUUUGUGCCAAAGUCCUGAAACAAUGACUUUGAAUUGUAUUACCAGGUCUUUCUAACAUUUUCAUAAACAGAAAUAUUACCCUGCAAUAUAUUCUUAAACAAAAAUAUUACCCUGCAUUUGGGGUGUUCCUCAAGGUGACCACAAUCCCGCUAUCAUCUAUUUUCAUACAGAAGGUGGUGGAAACAAUGUCUUCAAUUUCUUUGAUAAGAUCAAUACAUUCUAUCUGCCCCUGCUCAGCUCCGAAAUUACUUUUAAGAGUACAAAUAAUGUUUUCCGCCAGUUUUGUAGAAGGCAAAGCAUCAGAAUCUGUAGGAAUCUCUGUAAGGACAUUGUAGUAAAUCAGAGUUUCCAAAAGCUGCCGACGUAAAGAUGUAUCUUCAUUGUUCAUAAGGAUUUGACUCACAAGUGCCCUCAAUUCCUUCUUUUUCUGGUCCAGAGUAUUUAGCAGUCCAGAUAAACUAAAACAGUUAAAACAAUGCAAAUCAGUCAAGCAUUGAGAAUUAAUAUAGAGUGAAGAAAUAAGGCAACACGUGAAUAAAAAAUUGGGCUGAUAAAUAGCAACUUUGAUUUGUAAAAUGGUAAAUUUUGUUAUCAUCAUUAUUUAUUCACAACUAAACCCCAAUCAGUUAUGACAAUUUCUUAAAAAAAUUACUAUGAACAUAACAAGACAUAUCAUUCUAAUAAAAUAAGUUGUAUGUACAAUUAUACAAUCAUUUAGUGUAACUUAUACACCAUAAACUCUAAAAUAUGGGGAUAAAUAUCACUUAUAUUAAGAGAGGAAAUUACCGUGUAUUUGGACUUUGUGCAUUUUCGCCAGAAGGACUUCCCAUGUCCAUGUUGGAGCAACCACCCGGGAAGUCAUGUGACCUAGGCAAUUCAUUGAUCAAAUAUGCUAAGGGCUGCAGUGAUCUUAAGUGAGAGCAAUCUUAUCAAUUGAAUGUUCCUAAAAAGCUAUCAUAUAAUUUUAUAACAAUAUUGGAGCAGAAGUACACAGUGGCAUAAUAUUUGCAUUAAUCCUGCCGCUUUCCUCAAUAUUACGAGCUAUACCUAUGUCUUUCUACUUUUGUUGCAGAGUAGUGUACUAGCAGUACAUUCUCAAGAUCUAAGCUCAUUCUGGACAACUUUUUCUUGGCAGUUUUUUGGGUUCAGAAAAUUGCAUUUCUGCAUAGGUGUUACUAAGGGAAUCAGAGGCAAAUAUUGAGGCAGUACAGAGCAAAUUUCGUUUCUGUCAGAUUUUGUGAGGUUUUUUGUGACAGAUACACCAAUUCACCUCAUACCUAUUCAGUUUUGAUUCGGGUAUGCCUUGAUAAAAGACUAGUGAAUGAUAAUUUUGUAUAAUAACGAGACGUAUAAAAGAAUAGUAAAACUUACAUUGACGUCCUCAUAUCCACACCCAGGGGUGAUGUACUGCUAUGCCCUUGUCUACUAGUCUCGUCAGUAUCUUUCCCCACCUCUUGCAUUGUUUGAUCUCGUUCAAUGUCCGUCCCCACUUCUUGCAUUGUGUGAACUCGUACAUCUGAGUGGUUUUUUUUCUUACUUGGCCUAGUAUUUAUUGGCCCUUUUAGUGCAGCAAUAACUUGUGGAUCAAGUUUACUCCUGUUGGAAACAUGGACUUAUAAAUAAUAUAUGCUUAAUAAUCAAUCACCCUUUAAUAACUUUGCCUCAUCCACACUAUUACAGAGAAUAACUUACCUUAUGUUUCUCAAUUGGACACUCCUACCCCCCUCCACAUCAGCAGAGGUGCUGACUCCUAUGGGUUGGAAUCCCUGAACUGGUGACUCUACCUCCCUAUCAUGAGAGCUUUCUAAACCCAUGCUGUCUCUUGUAGGCUCCAAACCCUCAACCUGUGGUUGUCGAUGAGAGUUUUCAGGACCUAUUGUGCCUCCUGUAGGCUCGAAACCCUCAACUUGUUCCUGUUGAUGAUUGCUUUCUUGACCUGUGGAGUCUCCAAUAGGCUCAAAACCCCCAAAUUGUGACUGUUGUGGCUCCAUCAUCUCCAUAUUAUGAGAGCUCUGAGGAAUUGUGCUGCCACCAAUAAGCUCGAAUCUCUCAUCCAUGCUCCCUCCCAUAGUCUCAUUUGCCCUACAAACAAUGUGGCAGAAUAGUUUGAAGAAAGAAAUCUUAACAUUUCAAGAAAUGCUCAUUCUUUAACCCAUUUAGCUUCUACAAAAACAUAUUUAGUGUGGAAUUGAUGUCAACAUGACUAAUUAAUUAUCUUACCCAAUUGGACUUCCAGCGAUAGCAUUAUUCUCUACCUCAUGAACACUAUUCUCCGCGUCAUCUGCACCUCUUUCUUCCCUAGACACCGGUACCCUAUAAAAUAAUAUUGAUCAAAUUUAAAGAAAUGCAAAUAUAGUUCGGAAAAUUUCCAACAACGCCCCAAACUUAAUGAAUUGUGUUAUUCGUUUGAGUUGAGUUAUAUAUACAACUCAAAUAUUACCUACGUCGCCUAGAACUUCUUGUCCUCCCUCUCAAUGUAGCCAAGACUGUUGGAUCAGUAUAACUACUGUAGAAAGCAUGAAAGUAAAUCAUGAGUGCUAAAGAGAUAAAAGUUCUCUACCCAGAAAGUGAGUCGAUUUGCAUAAUGAUCAGUGUUACUUACUUUUCCUGCCUACAAGAUCGAAAAGUAAUUUCUUUUAUCACUAGAUUCCCAGAAUCAACUCCUGGAUAUUAAAACUGAGUAUGUAAAUACAAGUCACAAAGUCCCCAAAGGAGAAAAAAAGAAAAAAGAAAGAAAAACAUCAACAUCCAAAUUAUUCUAACCUAGGCGAGUCUUCUGCCCCAGCGCUUUAAGGAGUGAGUUGGCAAAAUCUACAACCAGAUCUUUGGUAUUCUGAUCACCAUAUCCAUCAUACUUUGCAUUGACUGGUUCCAACUUUUUUCUGUAAUAUUCCUUUUGGCUCUCAGUCAAUGUUACCUCAUGCUUGGGGCGCUCUUCGGCAGGUGGUAACUGCAUACGCUUGCGUUUCUGGUAUUCUUCUCCCACAUUGCCACCUUGUUGCUGUUCUUGCGCUUGCUGCUGUUCUUGCAGAGUGGUAUCUUGGCGGUCUUCCAUUUAUAACUGCAACUUAACCACUGAAAAAUCAGGACAAACGCACAUUGAAAAGAGAAGAUAUGUGAUGCUAAAGGAGUAGAAAUCCCAAAUCCAAUUCCAGAAGAACAAGGAACUAGAGAAUGUUCUUGGAAGAACAAGAAUCACGAAAUUAGAGAGAGAGGAAGAAGCUAGCUGAUCUCUCCUGUUUUUUUUUCCUUCUUUUUAUUUGCUUUAGGGCAAAAAACUGCCUAACUAGCCAUCAGCAAUAACCCAAAUAACUAACUUCCAGAUCAGCAUUAACAAACUAACUGUCAAGAUUCCCUUGUACUGAUUACAAUCAAGAAUUGCUAACUUUGAUAUCAAACGGUGCAAAAAUAACAAAAUAACUCCAUAAUGCAUCAUAAUCCAAAUUAAUUUUAUGCAUUAAUUAUAUAUAAAAAAUAUACAUCACAAUGUAUGUUUACACGGUUUAGCACCUUGAAUGUGAUCAUGCAUGCAUGCACGCAUGCAUGGGAAGCAGAAAACAAUACAAGAUAGAGAAUUCCCUCUACAAGAAUUGACUAAUCUUAAAAAUUACAUAUCGUACGUAUUCGUCAUUGUCAAAAAACUACUGCAGCAACUAUAUGUAGCAUUAGUAGUAGUAGUAUGCAUCAGUUGCAAUAAAGGAAUAAUACAACGCAUAUAAUACAUCAGAAAGAAAAAAUAAUACAACGCAUAUAAUACAUCAGUUGCAAUAAUACAACGCAUAUAACUAGUGGCAAUAAAGGAAAAAAAAAAAAAGAAAGAAACAACAAGAAUUAAGAUGUAUGCAAAAAUUACCUCGUUAAAAGGUUUGAUCCCAAGAUGUGAAGUAACUACAACUUGUUUGAGAUUUUAGAAUUUCUAGGGUGGACAAAGAAAAACAUGGCCUCCUAUUUAUAAUGACCUGAUAAUUGGGUUUUAAGAACUUCCAAUUUCUGCUUUUGGAAGUUGGACAAAGUUUCGUGCAUGUCCAACCUUAUGGAAGCUUUCUAUAUAUUUCCUCUGAUGUUUUUCAUUUUAGGAAACCGCUCUAAUCCUUUUCAAUUCAUGAAAAUGAAGAAUUAAUAAAUCUAAAGUAAUAUAGAAUUGUAAACAUGCAACGCAACUAGAAAAUGAAUUUUGGUUUAUAUCCUUGUGACUUUAGUUUAUUGUUGGAAAAUAUGUUACUCAAAACAUGUAUGGAACUUUGAUUUGAAUCUAUCAAACUCUAUUAACUUUUGUUUGGAUUUGUUCAAAGUGGAAAUGAAGAGAAAUAGAAUAUAGAGUUACAUUGGUUCAAAAUUUUUUAGGUUUACAUUUUCUCCUAUGGCCGUCAAAGCUGAAGCAAUACAAGCAACCCAGCCAGAAGGGCUGUAUUUCUGGCUGAUCGCUUCUGAUUUAAGGAAGAUCAGGUGCCCAGUCUUGGCUUCAGCUGUCAAGCGGAGUGGUAUAUGCAUGACGAUUUAAAAGUGCUAUCUCUUAGUUUUCUUCUAGGUUUAUUUGACGUAGGUGAUUUGCGUACCAUGCGUGAUGAAUUCUUAAAGUGCUGCUUUAGGUGAAAUCUACAACUAGAAGGAUAGAAGGAAUCUGUGUAUUUUCUGAAGAAACUUCCAGUGCUUGACCUUUAUCAUCUACUUUGUCACGAAUAUUUGCAUCCGUUUUGUUUGAUGGAGACUUAUUAUCAUGUCAUUGUGGGUUAAUUAUAAUUGCCACGACAAUUGAACCUGUAAUCUUUGGCCCAAUCGUUUUAUCACGUUAAGGAACUGAAACCUUCAUUUACAAUAUAGCAGGGCGGUCCGAGUUGAUCGUUUGGAGGCACCUGGUCUUACUGCCCAAGCAAAUCUUAUUGUUUCCUCUUUACCUGCACGAUCUAAUCAGGCAGAGACAAAAGGUUUAUUCCCGUCGAGAACCACCCAGCAUCUCAGUCUGCCCAGACGAAUAGGCAAGAGCACACAACAACAUGCAAGAGCCUCUAACCUUUUCCCCAAAAUCAGGCGACGUACUGUGACCAUCCUGUGUUGCAAAGCCAAUUGUUUUUUUCAACUGUCUGCAAUUAAGGUUCGUACUGUCUUUGUUGUGUCGUCGGUAAUUAGGAUCCAUAAAUAUUUUUGCCGAAAUGUUGACCCUUUUUAAAAUUUACAAAAUUUAAAAAAGGGGGGGGGGGGGUAUCGGAUCCUUUGAUUUUUGGGUGCAAUGAACUUUAAAUGCUUAUUUACAUCAUUAAUGUUUUAAAUCCUCCAUUGUUCAAUUUCAAAUGAAUCUUUUCCACCACCAAGAUUUCAUCGGAUACUAUACUAUUUCCAUUUUGUGUUAUGUAUAUAAUCUUGUUGUGAUUGAUGGUUUAGAUUUUACGAUAUCUUCCGCUAGGAAAUUACCUAAUCGAUUCCUACAAAUUGACUAUCCCAAUUAUUCUCAUCACACCGUAAUCGCUCUCCCAAAUUCCGCCAUUUUCCAUUUCUACAAAUUUCUUAACCCUAGUUGGGAUUCUAUUUUGAGUUGAGAUUACUCCUAACAAAAAAAGAGAAAUUCUUUGGCCCUUUUGAAUCUCAUGUCCACCGAAAUCACCUUCCCUAACCCAGUCAGAAGCGGUUGUGAGAAAAUUGGACGUCUCUCUUCCGAAGAGAGACUCCACACUGCAGCAUUAGGAGCAAGAUCACCAUUUGGAGUAAGCUUUUUCUUCUUCUUUUUUUUUUUCCAGUUUGUUAUUCAGUUAUGCAUCUCUUUAUAUAAGGUGCUUUUUCUUGAAUUAUCUCUAGUAUUUUCUUGGAGCAGUACUUUUUUAUUAGUUUUCCAACUUGGUAGGAAAUUUCGUUUUGGAAAAAAGAUGAAAUGCAAGAUAAGCAAUGGAUUCCCUGCUUUAUAACGGUAGCUGUUGAAUGUUGACCAUCUCUGCCUGCAAAAAAUAUAGUUCAACUCUUCCCUUUUUUCAUCUGUUAAUAAUCAGCGCUCGGCUUAUUUAUUAUGCUUUUGUUUUGGCUUUUUCUAGUGAUUUGGGUUUUUGGAAUAUCCAGCUCUAAUUUUCUGGGAUCCACAAGUUCUGGAGAAUGAAUGAAUCCACUAGCCUGCAUAAAUUUCUAGGCUAAAAUUUGUUCCUGCAUCAGCUACUUGGGAUUUGGGUGGCCGGGGGGGGGGGGGUGGGGAGAGAGGAGGGGGUAAAGCUGGAAAUGGUUGUCGAUUUGCUUAAAGCGUCGACCACAUUUCACAGUCACAGUGGUGAUACUUGUUUUCUUCAAUUAUUCAAUUUAUAAUUUUUGAAACUGCAAAAAAUGCACUCAAUUUUGUUCAAUUGUUGGUAUAGAAAUGCUCAUUCUGGAAUAUGACAAUUUUAAAUGGAUUUGUGAUGCCUUUAUAGUAAUUGUUAGGGGCAUUAUCUACAAAAAAGUGUAAAAACAAAAAAGAUUGAAUCUUUAUUAGUACUGUAUCAAAAAGUUUUGAUUGAUAUCUUUGUUUAUUAUAUGCAUCAACUUCCUGUGCAGCAAAAAUAGGGAAAAAAAAGUAGAUCUUUACUUUGUCUUAAUUGAUAUCUUUGCACAGCAUAUUGCCAUUAAUUUCCCAUGCAGCAUUCAAAAAAGCUUUGAUUGUUGAUUUCGAACUUAUGCACAUCAAAUACGAACACAGCAAUACAAUUUUUAUCAUUUUAAGUUUUAAUAGUGGCACAUUAAAGUCUAUAGUAGCUUCAGUUUUCAGUCAUGGCAAAACUAAUGCUAUCCUUGUAUUGACCAAUUAAUCCUUUUGAAUUCAUUUCUGGAUCAGCUAUUGGAAUUUGAAAAUUUAGAAUGUAUUUGGAAUGCAUUAGUAUUUACUGUUAACAGUGGCGACAUACAAUAAAGAAGUUCAAUGUCCUGUAACUUUGAAGUUCUGGAACUGUGGCUAUCAAUAUACCGCUUUAAAAAAGAGAGAAAAAAAGAUAUGGUUGAACAGUGUUUCAUCCUUUUACGUGUAUAGAGACGUACCUUGUUUACAUAAAGGCCUUAACAAUGCUGUGCAUAUUUUAUAAACAGUUUGCAAUUGCAGACUUGUUCAACUGAGACAUAGUUAUGCUAGUUUUAAUUCUCCCCCAGUUAUCCUUUUUCCCGCUUAUUUCCCUUCUUUAAGUGUCUUUUAGUUUAACUGAGUGUUAACGAAUAUUUGCAGUAGAGCAUUGACUUCAGUGUUUUGUGGUCCAGAUGGCUAAGGGGGUUGAUCAUAUGCUCAAGAGGUAUAACCUCCGUCCUCGUCCUACUUGCAGGAAAGUGCAAUGUAAUGUAUCCCAUUGCGUCCCAGAAUCUAAGAGGCAUACCUUAUAUCCUCAUGCUAAUGAUCAGAAGAUACGGCGGAGGCCUUCUAUACCUUAUCUUUCGCCAGAAAUUAUCUUCAAUAUUCUUGUCUACCUUCCUGCUGACAUACUUUACAAUGUGAUGAGGUAUGUCUGUCGAGAGUGGUACAACAUCAUCUCUAGUCCUACAUUCAUUGAUGCACACCUCCUAAAGGUGGACAGGGGCAUGCUUAUCAAGCAAAUUUAUCCAGAUUGCAAUAUACAUUAUGUCAAAAUGGUGAAGCAUGAUCUUCCUGAGAUCAUUGAGGUAGACUCUUCUCAUUUGCCAAGAUAUGGUAUAAGUAGUUGUAAUGGUUUGGUCUUGAUGGCUAAAAGUCAAGAGGAAAAUCGUUAUGUUGCAAAUUUAGUUACAAAGGAAGUUGUAACCCUCCCUCCUCCUUUAGCUGCAGCCAAGGCAAAUCCAAGUUUUUCGGGUAUAGGAUAUACUUGUUCAAAGAAAUAUAAACUGGUUGAGUUCUACUUUAAUCAUCAGGGGCCAUUGGAAGGUGGGAUACUGACUCUUGGUAUUGAUAGAGAAUGGAGGUGCCUUUGCCGACGGAAUGAAACUAGGGAAAUUGACAAAUUUAGUUUCAUUGACUUGCUUUUCAAGAAGCCAAUUGCUAGUGCAGAAGGAAUUUUGCAUUGGACACAUUAUAAGCUUCCUUUGGUUCUUAAUUUAGAUCUCGAAACUGAGAUCCUCUACACUCGUGCCACUCCAAAAUGUUCCGAGAUGAAUAGGCGGACUUAUAUGGGAACUGGACGGUCACUUUGUUUCAUGGAUUACUUGGGAAAGUUUUCAUGGGAGCUCUGGUUGCUAAAAGAUGCAGAAACUGGAGAAUGGGAUAAGCUGGCCAUUAUUGAUCUAGGACCUCAGGAGAAAAUGCUUCGGCGCACUUUGUGUCCGACAGGAUUUCAAAUUGUGCCUGUUGGUUUCCUGAAAGAUGGGGAGAUUGCAGUCCUCUAUGUUGCACACGAAGAUGGGAUACCACAUGAAAGGUAUCGCCAUCAUAAGACACAUCCAUCAAGAAACUGCAUUACGUAUAAUGUGAAGACAAGAGUGAUCAACUCAUUUCACUUGGAUAAGGGUAGCACUUUUGAAAUGAAUGAGAGUUGGAGGUAUACUCCGCAUGUCAAGAGCUUGGUUUCUCUAAAAUUUUCAGCUAAUUAGUUGCUUCUUUUUCUGUUCCAAAAAAAAAAAAAAGAUAUUGGUGUGAGAUGGAAGAAGAGGGAAGGGAGACUGGUUGGAACUAGAAUAGCAUCAUUGUUGUGAGAUGUCUUUCUUUCCCCAUUAAUUUAUCAAUGCCAUGAUCAUGAAGGAUUGGAUUAACUUAGUCGUAAUUUGUGGUUUCAUUCUUGCAUUAUCUUGUGAGCAUAGGAGUAUUUGAUAUUUUCUGUUGGUAUCUAUAACUUUCUAUUUCUCAUCAAAUUAGUUGCUACGUUUGGAAAAUUUUUUUAUUACAGCUGCAAAAGUUUUGUUUUUCAAAUGUCAUUGCACUCUUUUAUUGGCUAUAAAAAAUCUCUCUUUGUUGGGUAGCUCGCUUUUCCAUGAUGAUCGUAGCUAGUUUGACGCGUACCAUUCAGGUCACCCAGCCAUUGGAUGUUCUCUAGAGAAUCUUUUCAAGGCAAUGAUUCACAGGCUAUAGGUCCAUAAUUGAUAAGCUUUUCUUUACUAGUUAAGUCCUAAGAAUAUGAUUUAUAAUUUUUGGGAACAAUAAUAGAAGUACAAAAAUCUGAACUGCAGAAGAAAAUCAAUCUGAAAAAUCACAUACCCAUUCCACGAUUUGUGGCACCACCAAAUGUAGUGGAAAUGGUAUAAUUUGCAUUCUGUGAGUUCUUCGUCUUCUGCUUGAACUGGAAAGCUUUUUAUUCAUGGGAGGGGACUAUCAUUCUUAUGUUUGAGGUUGCUGCAAAUUUCGCUUAUAAUGUUGGAAGAUUGCAAAAUGGAUUCCUAUCGUUUCAAACCCAAUAUUUGGCAACAAUUUAUAGGUUUUCUGCGUGAGAGAUCAGAGACACAGUGUUGAAAGAAGAAACUUCAAAGAAAUUGCCAUAGUUGACUAAUUGAUUCUAAUAAUACGAGAAGUAAUUCUUAAGUUUCUUUGUUUGCUUUUAAUCAGCAAGCAAAAAAUUUUUGCUCGAGAAAAUGUAAUGCAAAAAACAUUGAAUGACAUUAGCCUAAACUUUGGAUAUUUGUAAUUUCAGAUAAAAAGUUCCAAGAAUUAAAAUGUGGAUUCUUCAAUUGCUGCUUGCCCCCUCUACUUUAGCUUCAGCUUCUGGUUCAUCGCUGGGUUCCACUACCUCAAGCUUCUGGUUCGUUGCUAAAUGGGUGCCCACUGUGAAGUGAAAAACAUUUACUUUAGCAUUUAGAAAAACUUUUAAUAGAGCAAAAAAGCAUGGGACAAAAAGUGAUACUAAUGGCAUAUUUUACAAAAGGAAGAUGAUCCUGUCAUUUUAGACACAGCUUUACAGAGUUGCAAUGGAAUGAGAAGGGAAUUCGUUAGCAAAGAAUGAAAAAUCUCCAACUGAUCAAGACGAUACAAAAGUAUUUGACUCAUAUAAAUUUAGCAAAGAUCUUUAAACGCCAAGAAUUUGUAGAUUUAGCACUAUCUAUUAUACACCUAUGCCUGGAUCUUAACUGCCUAUGUAGGGGCUAAAGUCUUAGGGAAUUGAUCCAUUUCCAACACAAAGCUUUUGAAUGUCAAUGAAGAUCACAGAAUAGUCAGUACACGAUUCCAUGACACUGGUCAAUUAUUUUCAUGGUAGUAUCGUCUAACUACUGCAGAAUAUGGUAAGGCUGAUGACAUCCAAGUAUCAUACUCGGGCUGUUCUCUGACCUAACAAUAAACUUUCCAAUCCACAACUACGCAGACGCAAACAUAUUAGGUUAAGCAAGAAGAGUUCUGUCAGGACUUUAAACAUGACUCUUUGUAAUAUUUUACACUCGAUAGAUCCUAUCUGUUCCAAAAGCCACUGAAAUUGUCCGCAACCCCUUUUAUAUCAGAAGCAAAAUGAAACAAAUAAAUGAGAAGCAAAAAGGAAUAGGCUUAAGACCUUGCCAUUUAAGCUGCCUAAGAUCAAUAACUUACCAUUUAUCUCUGAAUAAGUGAAAUCAGAAAUGAAUACAUCAAGAAACACUCAGGGUCAAUACUCAGCAAAGUUCUGUUAUGAGUUAGUUUUGGAAUUAUUGGCACACUUCUUUUCCAUAUUCAGAUAGACAAAAGGCAUCGCUUGAAAUUACCGUUACUUGUGAAUUUUAGGAAACAUGGCACCCUAUAAGAGAAGGAUUCAUCUUUACAUGUUACAGGUUGGAAAGCAGAAUGAGGUAAAGGAAAUGGGACUCUCUGCAUCAAUGCCUACAGCUUAGACAAAAGGGAAAAGAAGGGGUCAAAAGCAUGAACUGAUAACGGGGAUAGGGAUGGCGAGAAUCAAGAAAUCGUUGUAAGACAAUAACAUCAUACGGUAAGAAUUUUUAGCACGAGUAUCAAUCAAAGGAAUUUUCCUGCAAUAACAAAGUUUUACAACAAUGACAUAUUUUACUACUAUUUUGGUAAUCUCCAUAUUCUCAUUUUCUCAAAAAUAUUAGCAUGAAAUAUAUGAAGAAAAACUGACUUCGACUUUUCAACUCAUUUAGAAAGCUGCAACAAUGCUUCUUUAGCCCACGAAUCUAUUUAGCAUAAACUUUUUUCCAAGCUCAAAACUUAGCUAUUUAACAUUUACUAUCUUUGUAUUAGACCCAUAAACUCCAACACUAGAAAGUAGAAAAUAGGUAAAACAGGGAAAGAGAGUAAAAGAAAAGCAACAGAAUUCCUAAAUCCUACAGCAAAAUAGAAAUGAAAAACAGAAUUAAUUAGGAUGUGAAUAGACAAAACUUCUUGUUUUUAUUGUAGAGCACCUUGUCCGUUUUCAACGUAACUAGACAAUUUAGUAACAACAAUGUAGAAAAAGUAAACAAUGAAAUAAAUGUACCUGAUUUCUCUUUGAAUUCUUUUCUCCUCUUCUUUAAGCUCAUUGAUUUCAAGCCUUAGGCUCUCAAUUUGUGCCAAAGUCCUAAAACAAUGACUUUGAACUGUAUUACCAGGUCUUUCUAACAUUUUCAUAAACAAAAAUAUUACCCUGCAAUAUAUUCUUAAACAAAAAUAUUACCCUGCAUUUGGGUUGUUCCUCAAGGUGACCACAAUCCCGCUAUCAUCUAUUUUCAUACAGAAGGUGGUGGAAACAAUGUCUUCAAUUUCUUUGAUAAGAUCAAUACAUUCUAUCUGCCCCUGCUCAGCUCCGAAAUUACUUUUAAGAGUACAAAUAAUGUUUUCCGCCAGUUUUGUAGAAGGCAAAGCAUCAGAAUCUGUAGGAAUCUCUGUAAGGACAUUGUAGUAAAUCAGAGUUUCCAAAAGCUGCCGACGUAAAGAUGUAUCUUCAUUGUUCAUAAGGAUUUGACUCACAAGUGCCCUCAAUUCCUUCUUUUUCUGGUCCAGAGUAUUUAGCAGUCCAGAUAAACUAAAACAGUUAAAACAAUGCAAAUCAGUCAAGCAUUGAGAAUUAAUAUAGAGUGAAGAAAUAAGGCAACACGUGAAUAAAAAAUUGGGCUGAUAAAUAGCAACUUUGAUUUGUAAAAUGGUAAAUUUUGUUAUCAUCAUUAUUUAUUCACAACUAAACCCCAAUCAGUUAUGACAAUUUCUUAAAAAAAUUACUAUGAACAUAACAAGACAUAUCAUUCUAAUAAAAUAAGUUGUAUGUACAAUUAUACAAUCAUUUAGUGUAACUUAUACACCAUAAACUCUAAAAUAUGGGGAUAAAUAUCACUUAUAUUAAGAGAGGAAAUUACCGUGUAUUUGGACUUUGUGCAUUUUCGCCAGAAGGACUUCCCAUGUCCAUGUUGGAGCAACCACCCGGGAAGUCAUGUGACCUAGGCAAUUCAUUGAUCAAAUAUGCUAAGGGCUGCAGUGAUCUUAAGUGAGAGCAAUCUUAUCAAUUGAAUGUUCCUAAAAAGCUAUCAUAUAAUUUUAUAACAAUAUUGGAGCAGAAGUACACAGUGGCAUAAUAUUUGCAUUAAUCCUGCCGCUUUCCUCAAUAUUACGAGCUAUACCUAUGUCUUUCUACUUUUGUUGCAGAGUAGUGUACUAGCAGUACAUUCUCAAGAUCUAAGCUCAUUCUGGACAACUUUUUCUUGGCAGUUUUUUGGGUUCAGAAAAUUGCAUUUCUGCAUAGGUGUUACUAAGGGAAUCAGAGGCAAAUAUUGAGGCAGUACAGAGCAAAUUUCGUUUCUGUCAGAUUUUGUGAGGUUUUUUGUGACAGAUACACCAAUUCACCUCAUACCUAUUCAGUUUUGAUUCGGGUAUGCCUUGAUAAAAGACUAGUGAAUGAUAAUUUUGUAUAAUAACGAGACGUAUAAAAGAAUAGUAAAACUUACAUUGACGUCCUCAUAUCCACACCCAGGGGUGAUGUACUGCUAUGCCCUUGUCUACUAGUCUCGUCAGUAUCUUUCCCCACCUCUUGCAUUGUUUGAUCUCGUUCAAUGUCCGUCCCCACUUCUUGCAUUGUGUGAACUCGUACAUCUGAGUGGUUUUUUUUCUUACUUGGCCUAGUAUUUAUUGGCCCUUUUAGUGCAGCAAUAACUUGUGGAUCAAGUUUACUCCUGUUGGAAACAUGGACUUAUAAAUAAUAUAUGCUUAAUAAUCAAUCACCCUUUAAUAACUUUGCCUCAUCCACACUAUUACAGAGAAUAACUUACCUUAUGUUUCUCAAUUGGACACUCCUACCCCCCUCCACAUCAGCAGAGGUGCUGACUCCUAUGGGUUGGAAUCCCUGAACUGGUGACUCUACCUCCCUAUCAUGAGAGCUUUCUAAACCCAUGCUGUCUCUUGUAGGCUCCAAACCCUCAACCUGUGGUUGUCGAUGAGAGUUUUCAGGACCUAUUGUGCCUCCUGUAGGCUCGAAACCCUCAACUUGUUCCUGUUGAUGAUUGCUUUCUUGACCUGUGGAGCCUCCAAUAGGCUCAAAACCCCCAAAUUGUGACUGUUGUGGCUCCAUCAUCUCCAUAUUAUGAGAGCUCUGAGGAAUUGUGCUGCCACCAAUAAGCUCGAAUCUCUCAUCCAUGCUCCCUCCCAUAGUCUCAUUUGCCCUACAAACAAUGUGGCAGAAUAGUUUGAAGAAAGAAAUCUUAACAUUUCAAGAAAUGCUCAUUCUUUAACCCAUUUAGCUUCUACAAAAACAUAUUUAGUGUGGAAUUGAUGUCAACAUGACUAAUUAAUUAUCUUACCCAAUUGGAUUUCCAGCGAUAGCAUUAUUCUCUAUCUCAUGAACACUAUUCUCCGCGUCAUCUGCACCUCUUUCUUCCCUAGACACCGGUACCCUAUAAAAUAAUAUUGAUCAAAUUUAAAGAAAUGCAAAUAUAGUUCGGAAAAUUUCCAACAACGCCCCAAACUUAAUGAAUUGUGUUAUUCGUUUGAGUUGAGUUAUAUAUACAACUCAAAUAUUACCUACGUCGCCUAGAACUUCUUGUCCUCCCUCUCAAUGUAGCCAAGACUGUUGGAUCAGUAUAACUACUGUAGAAAGCAUGAAAGUAAAUCAUGAGUGCUAAAGAGAUAAAAGUUCUCUACCCAGAAAGUGAGUCGAUUUGCAUAAUGAUCAGUGUUACUUACUUUUCCUGCCUACAAGAUCGAAAAGUAAUUUCUUUUAUCACUAGAUUCCCAGAAUCAACUCCUGGAUAUUAAAACUGAGUAUGUAAAUACAAGUCACAAAGUCCCCAAAGGAGAAAAAAAGAAAAAAGAAAGAAAAACAUCAACAUCCAAAUUAUUCUAACCUAGGCGAGUCUUCUGCCCCAGCGCUUUAAGGAGUGAGUUGGCAAAAUCUACAACCAGAUCUUUGGUAUUCUGAUCACCAUAUCCAUCAUACUUUGCAUUGACUGGUUCCAACUUUUUUCUGUAAUAUUCCUUUUGGCUCUCAGUCAAUGUUACCUCAUGCUUGGGGCGCUCUUCGGCAGGUGGUAACUGCAUACGCUUGCGUUUCUGGUAUUCUUCUCCCACAUUGCCACCUUGUUGCUGUUCUUGCGCUUGCUGCUGUUCUUGCAGAGUGGUAUCUUGGCGGUCUUCCAUUUAUAACUGCAACUUAACCACUGAAAAAUCAGGACAAACGCACAUUGAAAAGAGAAGAUAUGUGAUGCUAAAGGAGUAGAAAUCCCAAAUCCAAUUCCAGAAGAACAAGGAACUAGAGAAUGUUCUUGGAAGAACAAGAAUCACGAAAUUAGAGAGAGAGGAAGAAGCUAGCUGAUCUCUCCUGUUUUUUUUUCCUUCUUUUUAUUUGCUUUAGGGCAAAAAACUGCCUAACUAGCCAUCAGCAAUAACCCAAAUAACUAACUUCCAGAUCAGCAUUAACAAACUAACUGUCAAGAUUCCCUUGUACUGAUUACAAUCAAGAAUUGCUAACUUUGAUAUCAAACGGUGCAAAAAUAACAAAAUAACUCCAUAAUGCAUCAUAAUCCAAAUUAAUUUUAUGCAUUAAUUAUAUAUAAAAAAUAUACAUCACAAUGUAUGUUUACACGGUUUAGCACCUUGAAUGUGAUCAUGCAUGCAUGCACGCAUGCAUGGGAAGCAGAAAACAAUACAAGAUAGAGAAUUCCCUCUACAAGAAUUGACUAAUCUUAAAAAUUACAUAUCGUACGUAUUCGUCAUUGUCAAAAAACUACUGCAGCAACUAUAUGUAGCAUUAGUAGUAGUAGUAUGCAUCAGUUGCAAUAAAGGAAUAAUACAACGCAUAUAAUACAUCAGAAAGAAAAAAUAAUACAACGCAUAUAAUACAUCAGUUGCAAUAAUACAACGCAUAUAACUAGUGGCAAUAAAGGAAAAAAAAAAAAGAAAGAAACAACAAGAAUUAAGAUGUAUGCAAAAAUUACCUCGUUAAAAGGUUUGAUCCCAAGAUGUGAAGUAACUACAACUUGUUUGAGAUUUUAGAAUUUCUAGGGUGGACAAAGAAAAACAUGGCCUCCUAUUUAUAAUGACCUGAUAAUUGGGUUUUAAGAACUUCCAAUUUCUGCUUUUGGAAGUUGGACAAAGUUUCGUGCAUGUCCAACCUUAUGGAAGCUUUCUAUAUAUUUCCUCUGAUGUUUUUCAUUUUAGGAAACCGCUCUAAUCCUUUUCAAUUCAUGAAAAUGAAGAAUUAAUAAAUCUAAAGUAAUAUAGAAUUGUAAACAUGCAACGCAACUAGAAAAUGAAUUUUGGUUUAUAUCCUUGUGACUUUAGUUUAUUGUUGGAAAAUAUGUUACUCAAAACAUGUAUGGAACUUUGAUUUGAAUCUAUCAAACUCUAUUAACUUUUGUUUGGAUUUGUUCAAAGUGGAAAUGAAGAGAAAUAGAAUAUAGAGUUACAUUGGUUCAAAAUUUUUUAGGUUUACAUUUUCUCCUAUGGCCGUCAAAGCUGAAGCAAUACAAGCAACCCAGCCAGAAGGGCUGUAUUUCUGGCUGAUCGCUUCUGAUUUAAGGAAGAUCAGGUGCCCAGUCUUGGCUUCAGCUGUCAAGCGGAGUGGUAAAUGCAUGACGAGUUAAUAGUGCUCUCUCUUAGUUUUCUUCUAGGUUUAUUUGACGCAGGUGAUUUGAGUACCAUGCGUGAUGAAUUCUUAGUGUGCUUCUUUAGGUGAAAUCUGUGCUGCUCUAGAAGGAUAGAAGGAAUCUGUGUAUUUUCUGAAGAAACUUCCAGUGCUUGACCUUUAUCAUCUACUUUGUCACGAAUAUUUGCAUCCGUUUUGUUUGAUGGAGACUUAUUAUCAUGUCAUUGUGGGUUAAUUAUAAUUGCCACGACAAUUGAACCUGUAAUCUUUGGCCCAAUCGUUUUCUCACGUCAAGGAACUGAAACCUUCAUUUACAAUAUAUCGGGGCGGUCCGAGUUGAUCGUUUGGAGGCACCUGGUCUUACUGCCCAAGCAAAUCUUAUUGUUUCCUCUUUACCUGCACGAUCUAAUCAGGCGGAGACAAAAGGUUUAUUCCCGUCGAGAACCACCCAGCAUCUCACUCUGCCCAGACGAAUAGGCAAGAGCACACAACAACAUGCAGGGAAGAAAAAAAAACGCAGAAAUAAAAAGUGCACUUAAAAACAUAUUUUUAUUUUUUCUGAAAAAAAGCCCCGAUAAUAAAUAUCCAAGGCAUACACAACUAGCCUAUCAGGUAAACACCUCAAGACAAAAGACACAAGUACUGUAGAGUAUAGUCAGACGCCUUUUUCCACUCCUUCAACAGGCUCCUUGACGUCCGUAAGAUUGAUCCCCUCAACCAUUUCGGUUACAUCUUCAGCUGCAUCAUCCUUCACCUUGCCACUGGGUCCAUUU
rnacentral:lncRNA from 1 species